UCUAAGUAGUUUUUGUGUAAAGUAGUGUAGGGCGCUAAAAGACUCAAUCAGUACAAUUUUAUAUUAUUAUAGGCUUCGAAAAUUGUUAACUAUGCAAAGCCAAGAAGUCUGAAGACGAGUGAGAGUUUUGGUAUGUGAUUUACAACUAUAAUUAUUUACCUAAAAUGUAUUUAUGGCAAUUAUAUUAUAUAAAACUAACCGCUUUGGGAUUUGUUUCAUUCGCGUACCCCAAACACGUCAAUACCAAACCAAUACCCGUUGACGGGCAAAUAAUGAAAAAAGGCACCGUGGAAAAAGGGGUUUAUAACGAGAAGUCGUCUCUCUUGGAUUGUGCGGACAUCACUUGUGUUUUUACAUUGUCUUUUUCUAACUAGCGCGUAUCGUGAUGACAUGUUUUUAAUUUUAACAUUCAAACGAUUCAGCCCGCUCUUCUUUAUACGAACUCAGUGUCAGGGAUACUGCCCAUAAAUAAUAUGUUAAUGGCCAUUGCGUUGUACGUUAAAUAAGGAACGCACGUUCUACGACUAAGUAUUGAGUUAUACUGAGUGAUCCUUUUAACGUCCUAGGACGUUUGUUUUAGUUAACCUCUGCUUGGGUGAUUGGAAUGGCUGGAUGCAACGGGUAUUCACAUAUGAAGAAUCUAGCAUUAAAGAGAGAAGAGUGGAAGUCUAUUUUUUCGCUAUGACAAAGCUUAGCCUUUAGAAAAGA